rnacentral:rRNA from 1 species
GUUGCUAACGCGUGAAGGCGAGCACUCUAGACGAACUGACCGUUGACAAAACGGAGGAAGUGGGGAUGACGUCAAAUCAUCAUGCCCCUUAUGUUCUGGGCUACACACGUGCUACAAUGGCCGGUACAGACGGACGCAAAGCCGCGAGGCGGAGCAAAUCCGAAAAAACCGGUCUCAGUUCGGAUUGCAGGCUGCAAUUCGCCUGCAUGAAGUCGGAAUCGCUAGUAAUCGCAGGUCAGCAUACUGCGGUGAAUACGUUCCCGGGCCUU